GAUGAACGCUGGCGGCGUGCCUAAUACAUGCAAGUCGGGCGAACGGACGAGAAGCUUGCUUCUCUGAUGUUAGCGGCGGACGGGUGAGUAACACGUGGAUAACCUACCUAUAAGACUGGGAUAACUUCGGGAAACCGGAGCUAAUACCGGAUAAUAUUUUGAACCGCAUGGUUCAAAAGUGAAAGACGGUCUUGCUGUCACUUAUAGAUGGAUCCGCGCUGCAUUAGCUAGUUGGUAAGGUAACGGCUUACCAAGGCAACGAUGCAUAGCCGACCUGAGAGGGUGAUCGGCCACACUGGAACUGAGACACGGUCCAGACUCCUACGGGAGGCAGCAGUAGGGAAUCUUCCGCAAUGGGCGAAAGCCUGACGGAGCAACGCCGCGUGAGUGAUGAAGGUCUUCGGAUCGUAAAACUCUGUUAUUAGGGAAGAACAUAUGUGUAAGUAACUGUGCACAUCUUGACGGUACCUAAUCAGAAAGCCACGGCUAACUAUGUG
rnacentral:rRNA from 1 species